rnacentral:sRNA from 1 species
UGGUAGAUGCACCCUGAUAACUGACCCCCUAGUGGACUUUCGGCUGCUGGGGGAUUUUUUU